rnacentral:rRNA from 1 species
CUCUACGGAGGCAGCAUGGGAAUCUUGCACAAUGGAGGAAACUCUGAUGCAGCGACGCCGCGUGGGCGAUGAAGCCCUUCGGGGUGUAAAGCUCUUUCGGCAGGGAAAGAUAAUGACGGUACCUGCAGAAGCAGCUGCGGCUAACUACGUGCCAGCCGCCGCGGUAAUUC